UAGCCUAGUGCUUUCCUGCGGACGUGCGCUGCUGCCCAGCCUCAGGCUCCAGUCCUGCGCUGGCUGCUGCUGGCUGUCGUCAGCGAUGCCGCCGCCGGCCACAAGGUGGCAGUGCCGUGCUGCGUGGCUACACGCCCCUGGAAGCACCGGACCAGCCUUGGUCUGGCAAAAGUUUUCCAGUCUUUCCAGCAGAUGCGCCCAGGCCGUGAGCCCUCCCGGGCGGCCUGGAGGACUCCCGAAAGAAGCCUGGUGUAACUGAGUCUGGAAUUUUUGCUGGGCUUGCUAGGUCUACACUCUCCCACCUGUGCUCCGAGGAGAGGUGUAGACUAUCUCUUGGAUUUUGCUUGGAGGAUGUCCUUUCCGGACUCAGGACCUAGGAGAGACCAGCAGGAAACAGAACAGAGUCUACAUAGGUGAAUAUCAAAGAAUCACCUGGAGAGAUUUACAGUCAUGUGAGGAACACCCACACGUCACCACCUAUUCAGCAAGGAGUGGGCCCUCACCAGGCACCAAAUCUGCUAGCACCUUGGUCUUCAAAUUCUCACCCUCCAGAACAGCGAGUGAGCAAUACAUUCUCUGCUCUUCAAGUUUCCCCGAUUAAGGUGUUUUAUUACAGACAACAGACUGGGACAAAAGGCCUGAGUCACAGACCAGUGAUUGGCAAAACAGAGAAGCUGAAGCAACUGUACAGCAAGCAGGAGCUCACACACGGGAGCCUACCUCUGGGAAUGCCGAGAAGUCAAUGCAAUGGUCACAUCUCAGGUUGUCUGGACACACAGACGGUUCACAAAUCCCGGGAUGGACCAGGAAGGCCAUUCAGUGAGAUUGUGUUGAACUGGGGAGUGGUGACAGUAAACAUUGACAUUAUGGUCCUACAUACAUAUCAUACGUUCCAUUAGUGUCCUACAUAAGUUAUAACCUGCUUACUCCUCCCAGUGCCCUUGAGAGAUCAGCCUGCUAAUUCCCACUCCAGAGUCAGGGAAGCUAAGUGCUGGGGACUCAGGAAACUUGACUGCGUUUAUAGCCAGUGAGUGGCAAAGCUGAUGUUUGAAUCCGUGUUUCGUGUUUCAGAGUCUUGGGAAGCUACGGUUUUUGUCCAUGGGGCUGAGUUGCUACACCACCCUAGAUGGUGGGCUGAGGGGCCUCUUCUGAUGAACUCCCUUCAGAAUGCAUUCCCUUCACAUCUGUUACCUCUUGCGGUGUGGGUCGCUGCUCUGUGGAAGUUGGACAGAACCCUUGGAACCUCCCGUGUGAUUCUGAAGUCUAGUGCAAACUCCAGUCAGUAAACUAAGAGAAACCAUUUUUAGUCAAAGGAAGCAAGGAACACUCCAACCAGCCCAGACUGACUUUCUUCUGUGGUUAAAAAUCUGGAUCUCCAUGUAAUUGCAACUGGGAAGAUCCUGCUGGAAGAUGUGCCAAGGUAGCCCCACAUGUUCCAAAGGGAUCGAAACUCAUUUGGAAGGGUAUGUUCUGAGAGAGAGAGAGAGAGAGAGAGAGAGAGAGAGAGAGAGAGAGAAGAAGAAGAAGAAGAAGAAGAAGAAGAAGAAGAAGAAGAAGAAGAAGAAGAAGAAGAAGAAGAAGAAGGAAGAACAACAAGAACAACAAGGAAGAAGAAGGAGAAGAAGGAGAAGGAGGAGAAGAAGGAGGAGGAGGAGGAGGAGGAAGAAGGAGAAGAGAGAGAAUUUCUUCUACUACUUCUUUAUAUUUAUGUAUUUAUUCUCUUUUGCACUUAGUGUGUAACUUGGUGCCUUACAUAAACCAUGGAAUAAUUAGGCUUUCUUCAGGAUGUAAGGAAAUUCCCUACAUCAGAGGACCUUACUAUCCAAGCUAAGGUAAGAAUGAAGUCCCAGCCGCAAGGGUGAUGGAAGGGAGACGAUGAAGAUAACAUAUGGUGGGAACAUCUCCAGGGAUGAUGGGAGAUACGGCUACAAAUGCUGCAUCCUAGGAGGAUGAAUUCUUUUCCUGUCUGCCAGUGAUCUCAGUUUUGUCAAUCAUUUCCAUGUACCCUCCCACUUCCUACAACUGCACUUAAGCCUUAGAAGAAAUAGGACAGGCAGUCUGGACAACGAGUGACACCAGGGAGUCCCUAGGUGUGUAUUUCCUUGUAUGUCUCUGUAAGUGUGGUCCCCAGCAUCCUAAUGGUUUGAUUUUGGCAGUAACUGGCUUUCUUAGGCACACCACCACUGUCGUUGUGGCAUGCUCACUAAACAUGGACUCCCUGUUCUUUGCUAAUCAAAUCUACCUGUAUACUCAGAAAUGCCACGAGUAGUCUAAGGCAGGCAUUGGCUAUGCCUACCUGUCACCUCUUUGGGAAAAAUAAAGUUUUAUUAGAACACA
rnacentral:lncRNA from 1 species